rnacentral:ncRNA from 2 species
UUUGGGAGGCCGAGGCUGGUGCAUCGCUUGAGCCUAGCAAUUUGAGACCAAUCUGGGCAACAAAGUGAGACCUCCAUCUCUACAAAGA